rnacentral:rRNA from 1 species
UACAGAGGUCCCAAGCGUUGUUCGGAUUCACUGGGCGUAAAGGGUGCGUAGGUGGCCAGGUAAGUCUGAUGUGAAAGCUCGGAGCUUAACUCCGAAAUGGCAUUGGAUACUAUCUGGCUGGAGGGUCGGAGGGGGGACUGGAAUUCUCGGUGUAGCAGUGAAAUGCGUAGAUAUCGAGAGGAACACCAGUGGCGAAGGCGAGUCCCUGGACGACUCCUGACACUGAGGCACGAAAGCUAGGGGAGCAAACAGG